CAGUCGCCGCGGUAAUACGGAGGGGGCUAGCGUUGUUCGGAAUUACUGGGCGUAAAGCGCACGUAGGCGGCUUUGUAAGUUAGAGGUGAAAGCCUGGGGCUCAACUCCAGAAUUGCCUUUAAGACUGCAUCGCUUGAACGUCGGAGAGGUGAGUGGAAUUCCGAGUGUAGAGGUGAAAUUCGUAGAUAUUCGGAAGAACACCAGUGGCGAAGGCGGCUCACUGGACGACUGUUGACGCUGAGGUGCGAAAGCGUGGGGAGCAAACAGGAUUAGAUACCCCCGUAGUCCCUGUCUCUUAUAC
rnacentral:rRNA from 1 species